rnacentral:rRNA from 1 species
UACGAAGGGUGCAAGCGUUAAUCGGAAUUACUGGGCGUAAAGGGUGCGUAGGCGGUUGUUUAAGUCUGUCGUGAAAUCCCCGGGCUCAACCUGGGAAUGGCGAUGGAUACUGGACAGCUAGAGUGUGUCAGAGGAUGGUGGAAUUCCCGGUGUAGCGGUGAAAUGCGUAGAGAUCGGGAGGAACACCAGUGGCGAAGGCGGCCUUCUGGACCAGUACUGACGCUCAUGCACGAAAGCGUGGGGAGCAAACAGG